GAUGAACGCUAGCGGCAGGCCUAACACAUGCAAGUCGAGGGGCAUCAUGGCGUAGCAAUACGCUGAUGGCGACCGGCGCACGGGUGCGUAACGCGUAUGGAACCUACCCACCGCAGGGGGAUAACCCGCCGAAAGGCGGACUAAUACCCCAUGGUUCCCCGACCCUGCCUGGGGUUGGGGGUAAAGCCUACGGGCGGCGGUGGAUGGCCCUGCGUGCCAUUAGCUGGCUGGUGGGGUAACGGCCCACCAGGGCGACGAUGGCUAGGGGGUCUGAGAGGACGAUCCCCCACACUGGUACUGAGACACGGACCAGACUCCUACGGGAGGCAGCAGUGGGGAAUUUUGGACAAUGGACGCAAGUCUGAUCCAGCAAUACCGCGUGCAGGACGAAGGCCUUCGGGUUGUAAACUGCUUUGUUACGGACGAAAAGCCUUACUUCUAAUACAGGAGGUCAUGACGGUACCGUAAGAAUAAGACACCGGCUAACUACGUG
rnacentral:rRNA from 1 species